rnacentral:miRNA from 1 species
ACGAAAAAUUAAAUGGAGGGCUA